rnacentral:rRNA from 1 species
CAGGCCUAACACAUGCAAGUCGAACGCAUCACUUCGGUGGUGAGUGGCAGACGGGUGAGUAACACGUGGGAACGUACCCUUCGAUCUGGGAUAACUUCGGGAAACUGGAGCUAAUACCGGAUACGCCCUUUUGGGGAAAGGUUUACUGUCGAAGGAUCGGCCCGCGUCUGAUUAGCUAGUUGGUGGGGUAACGGCCUACCAAGGCGACGAUCAGUAGCUGGUCUGAGAGGAUGAUCAGCCACACUGGGACUGAGACACGGCCCAGACUCCUACGGGAGGCAGCAGUGGGGAAUAUUGGACAAUGGGCGCAAGCCUGAUCCAGCCAUGCCGCGUGAGUGAUGAAGGCCUUAGGGUUGUAAAGCUCUUUUGUCCGGGACGAUAAUGACGGUACCGGAAGAAUAAGCCCCGGCUAACUUCGUGCCAGCAGCCGCGGUAAU